rnacentral:misc_RNA from 1 species
AAGUCAUCAUGGUGUCUUUUCAUAAAAUAAGUCAAAUUCCAAAACAAAGAAAUGUUAUGGAAGAUUUGUGUAAGAAGAGAAAAUGGGAAGAUGAUCAAUUGUCUUGUGAUGAAAUAAAGCCACAAAUUAAAGCAAAAAAAGUUACAACUUUGUUUGGUACACAAUUGAAUCCUGAGACUCCUCUGCCUUUGGAGUGGCAAAGAUGUCUUGAUAUUAAGUCUGGACAUAUUUAUUUCUACAACACAAGAACACAAAAGAGGACAUCAAGUGAUCCAAGACUAAGUGAUCCUGAACCACCACAACCAACACAUCAAGUGCAUAUGAGUUUAGACCUAGAACUCAACUUAUUACCAUCAUGUCAAUCACCAGAAAAAACCAACCAAAUUGAUGACAAUUUUGUUAGCAACAGCUCAAAUCACCUCAUGAAAAAAGAUAAUUAUGAGUCUAAAGGUUUAAUCAAUCGUUCACCUUCAUGGCUAACAUUUGAUGUUGAUCAACAAGAAAUGGUCACUGCAGUUUGCAAAAAAUGUCAUAUGUUAGUAAUGAUGUCAAAAUCUUCACCAACAUGUCCAAAUUGCAAAUUUGUACAUCCAUUAGAUGAAACUACUCCUACCCUUU